UACGUAGGGGGCUAGCGUUGUCCGGAUUUAUUGGGCGUAAAGAGCGUGUAGGCGGCCAGGUAGGUCCGUUGUGAAAACUCGAGGCUCAACCUCGAGACGUCGGCGGAAACCCUCUGGCUAGAGUCCGGAAGAGGAGAGUGGAAUUCCUGGUGUAGCGGUGAAAUGCGCAGAUAUCAGGAAGAACACCCGUGGCGAAGGCGGCUCUCUAGUACGGUACUGACGCUGAGACGCGAAAGCGUGGGGAGCGAACAGG
rnacentral:rRNA from 1 species